CGCAAGCCUGAUGGAGCAACACCGCGUGAGUGAAGAAGGGUUUCGGCUCGUAAAGCUCUGUUGUUAAAGAAGAACACGUAUGAGAGUAACUGUCCAUACGUUGACGGUAUUUAACCAGAAAGUCACGGCUAACUACGUGCCAGCAGCCGCGGUAAUACGUAGGUGGCAAGCGUUAUCCGGAUUUAUUGGGCGUAAAGAGAGUGCAGGCGGUUUUCUAAGUCUGAUGUGAAAGCCUUCGGCUUAACCGGAGAAGUGCAUCGGAAACUAGAUAACUUGAGUGCAGAAGAGGGUAGUGGAACUCCAUGUGUAGCGGUGGAAUGCGUAGAUAUAUGGAAGAACACCAGUGGCGAAGGCGGCUACCUGGUCUGCAACUGACGCUGAGACUCGAAAGCAUGGGUAGCGAACAGGAUUAGAUACCCUGGUAG
rnacentral:rRNA from 1 species